rnacentral:rRNA from 1 species
AGCGAAAUGCGAUAAGUAGUGUGAAUUGCAGAAUUCAGUGAAUCAUCGAAUCUUUGAACGCACAUUGCGCCCCUUGGUAUUCCAUGGGGCAUGCCUGUUCGAGCGUCAUUUG